rnacentral:lncRNA from 1 species
GUUCCUUCUCAGAGAAGGACUCUUCCAUCUCUUCUAUGCCCAUAUAUCCCAAGGGUCAUUAGAUGGUGCGUGGGAUUAAGAGAACGCAUGAAAUAAAAGAAGGAAUUAAGAGAAGUAAACUAGAAGGACUUCUCCUCUUAAAUGCAAAAUUAAAUGGAGCGGCAUUUUUUUUUCUUGCAUAUGGAUUGGCAUAGAGGAGGUUGAUCUGAUAUGAAAUACUUUCAUAAAAAUUAGAUAAGCCACCUAUUUAAUUAUAGGUUCAAACCUAAUCACAUUAGGUCAAGGCAACA